UCAAUCUCGUGCGGCUAUAUAUACCGCCGGUCCCUCUAAGAAGAUUAUAUUGUACGCCGGUAGUGAAGACCGGGCGGACGUCCGGGACGCGUGCGCGAACACGCGCACCCGGACGCACGCUUACGGCACCUCUUGAUACCGGUUGCACGUCUAUUUAAUAGGCUAGAGUUACGUUCGUUAC
rnacentral:rRNA from 1 species